rnacentral:rRNA from 1 species
UACAGAGGGUGCAAGCGUUAAUCGGAAUUACUGGGCGUAAAGCGCGCGUAGGUGGUUUGUUAAGUUGGAUGUGAAAGCCUCGGGCUCAACCUGGGAACUGCAUUCAAAACUGACAAGCUAGAGUAUGGUAGAGGGUGGUGGAAUUUCCUGUGUAGCGGUGAAAUGCGUAGAUAUAGGAAGGAACACCAGUGGCGAAGGCGACCACCUGGACUGAUACUGACACUGAGGUGCGAAAGCGUGGGGAGCAAACAGG